rnacentral:rRNA from 1 species
ACGACUCUCGGCAACGGAUAUCUCGGCUCUCGCAUCGAUGAAGAACGUAGCGAAAUGCGAUACUUGGUGUGAAUUGCAGAAUCCCGUGAACCAUCGAGUCUUUGAACGCAAGUCGCGCCCCAAGCCUUCAGGCCGAGGGCACGUCUGCCUGGGUGUCACAAAUCGUCGUCCCUAUCCUCUGCGGAUAA